CAAGAGUACGUGAAACCGUUUAGGGGUAAACCUGAGAAACCCGAAAGGUCGAAGGGAGAAAUUCAUUCGCGUUUCGACGCAGGCGUCGGACGGAGUCACGAGCGACGGAACGCAGUUCUUCGCGGAACUGACGGUUUCGCGCCCUCCGUCCGUUCGAACCGGCGGCGAACGCGUGCACUUUUCUUCUGGUAGGACGUCGCGAUCCGUCGGGCGUCGGUCUACGACUUGCGGUGGAGCCCGCCCGUCUCGUCAUCACGUACGUGCGGACGGACCCGCUCGUUCCGGCCGACUCGCUCGACGGUAUACGUAAGGUCGGAGGCCGCUCGAUUUUUUUUUAAAUCACAAGGAGCGUUCGACUCGUCGCAAGCGCGCCACGUGCGUCGGCACGCGGACUCCGUGCCGCGUCCGACCUCUGGUGACUGUUGGCGACGACGUUCUCGGACAGACCUCUCUCCGUGCGUGCGUGUGCGUGUGUUUUUUUUCUUUCAAUUUCGAUUGAACGAAGAGGGCAUGUGCGCGCGCGCACGCAGACCGAUCGGCGACGCUAUAGCUUUGGGUACUUUCAGGACCCGUCUUGAAACACGGACCAAGGAGUCUAGCAUGUACGCGAGUCAUUGGGAUUAUAACUAAACCUAAAGGCGCAAUGAAAGUGAAGGUCUUCCACGCGAAGACCGAGGGAAGACGGACGAUCGCACGUGGGAAUUUUCAUUAAUUUCCGAUCGUCCCGCACUCCCGGGGCGUCUCGUUCACACAGCGUGAAGAGGCGCACCAAGAGCGUACACGCUGGGACCCGAAAGAUGGUGAACUAUGCCUGGUCAGGACGAAGUCAGGGGAAACCCUGAUGGAGGUCCGUAGCGAUUCU
rnacentral:rRNA from 1 species